GACGAACGCUGGCGGCGUGCUUAACACAUGCAAGUCAAGGAGAAGUUUCGCUUCGGUGAGACGGAUACUGGCGCACGGGUGAGUAACGCGUAUGUAAUCUGCCCUAGGUCCGGGGAUAACACUUCCAACGAGGUGCUAAUACCCGAUGAAGCAGCGGCACCGCAUGGUGACAGUUGUUAAAGUUUCGAUGACCUAGGAUGAGCAUGCGUCCCAUUAGGUAGUUGGUGAGGUAACGGCUCACCAAGCCCGCGAUGGGUAGCUGGUCUGAGAGGAUGAUCAGCCACACUGGGACUGAGACACGGCCCAGACUCCUACGGGUGGCUG
rnacentral:rRNA from 1 species